AACUUUCAACAAUGGAUCUCUUGGCUCUGGCAUCGAUGAAGAACGCAGCGAAAUGCGAUAAGUAGUGUGAAUUGCAGAANUCAGUGAAUCAUCGAAUCUUUGAACGCACAUUGCGCCCCUUGGUAUUCCAUGGGGCAUGCCUGUUCGAGCGUCAUCUACACCCUCAAGCUCUGCUUGGUGUUGGGCGUCUGUCCCGCCUCCGCGCGUUGGACUCGCCCCAAAUUCAUUGGCAGCGUUUCCUUGCCCCCCUCUCGCG
rnacentral:rRNA from 1 species